CGAGGACUGACAGGUGUGGCUCGUUGGUUCAUCAGCAGGGGAGCAUUUAGGGGAUGGAUUGCCAGCACUUCGUUGCCUGAGUGUUUUGCCCUCUGUGGUGUGACUUCUGGCUGAUCUGAUCAAGACCCAAAUCUCUGUUUGUUGUGCAGACUCCUCCCUGGACCCGGACUGAACCUGGCUGGUAAUCCGUGAUCUUCUGGAACCUGGCAGGCUGUGUUCCUCUUCCUCCUGACUCUGUGCCCUCUCCCUGGUGGAUUCCACGUCCCCACCAUGACAGGGAUUAGGCUCGCAGCUCUCCAUUUAGUAUCUGACCAUGUUUCAAUAAACUUCAACUAAACUGUU